ACGGGAGGCAGCAGUGGGGAAUAUUGCACAAUUGGGGAAACCCUGAUGCGGCAACGCCGCGUGAGUGAAGAAGUAUUUCGGUAUGUAAAGCUCUAUCAGCAGGGAAGAUAAUGACGGUACCUGACUAAGAAGCUCCGGCUAAAUACGUGCCAGCAGCCGCGGUAAUACGUAUGGAGCAAGCGUUAUCCGGAUUUACUGGAUGUAAAGGGUGUGUAGGCGGCGAAGUAAGUCAGAUGUGAAAGACCGGGGCUCAACUCCGGGGCUGCUUUUGAAACUGCAUUGCUGGAGUGCAGGAGAGGCAGGCGGAAUUCCUAGUGUAGCGGUGAAAUGCGUAGAUAUUAGGAAGAACACCAGUGGCGAAGGCGGCCUGCUGGACUGGUACUGACGCUGAGGCACGAAAGCGUGGGGAGCAAACAGGAUUAGAUACCCUGGUA
rnacentral:rRNA from 1 species